AUGGUGUAUAGCAAAAUCACGACAAACACGCACAAGCUGAAGCCAGUGGAAGACUGCAAGCAUUGCUAUGCAUAGAAGAUUGAAUGUGAGGCCAUAGGAUUCUCCCGUCGUAAGGGGAAGAUCAAACUAGCCAACACGGAAACACCACCCGAGCUCAUGAGGCUGUGGACGAGUGCAGACCCUGAUGCUAUUCAUUUUCAUGACAACAUCAGGUUUUUAAAUAGCCAUUUCUCAUUCACCUCACUAUAUUUUCACCUUGAUAGUGAUACAACAAACACAUCAAAGCACCCUAUCUAUACAUUUUCUGCCCAUGGCCAAAUGUACCACAACAUACAGUCAUUUGGUAAACAAGAAGGUUUUGAUCGUAGUCAUCUAGAGCUCUACUUCUAUGAUGAUGACCCCAGUUUAGAGCAUAGGUACCACAGUUGCCGCAAAGAACAAUGUCAGAAAGACAAACAAGUAAUCACACAAGUGGUCGACAUACUUCGUGGCAACCCAUCCUCUGAAAACCAUUAG
rnacentral:rRNA from 1 species